rnacentral:ncRNA from 1 species
AAGCUAGCAGUGAACACCCCGGAGCUCCUCACUCUCCUUCUUAAAUAACAAACAACAUUGUGGCUAAGGCCCUUGAACCCCGGUGGUGAUGACGAUGCCCUAUCAACUUUCAAUCAUUCUUCCUGUGGCCCUUCCAUGGUGAUCACAGGUGUCGGAGAUUCAGGGUUUUAAUCCAGAGAGGAAGCCGUAGAAACAGCUAGCACAUCCAAGGAAGGUGGCAGGUGUGCAAAUUACCCACUCCCAACAUGGGGAGGUA